rnacentral:rRNA from 1 species
UACGUAGGGCGCAAGCGUUAUCCGGAAUUAUUGGGCGUAAAGAGCUCGUAGGCGGUUUGUCGCGUCUGCCGUGAAAGUCCGGGGCUCAACUCCGGAUCUGCGGUGGGUACGGGCAGACUAGAGUGAUGUAGGGGAGACUGGAAUUCCUGGUGUAGCGGUGAAAUGCGCAGAUAUCAGGAGGAACACCGGUGGCGAAGGCGGGUCUCUGGGCCGAUACUGACGCUGAGGAGCGAGAGCGUGGGGAGCGAACAGG